rnacentral:rRNA from 1 species
AGCAUAUCAAUAAGCGGAGGAAAAGAAACCAACAGGGAUUGCCUUAGUAACGGCGAGUGAAGCGGCAACAGCUCAAAUUUGAAAGCUGGCCCUUUCAGGGUCCGCGUUGUAAUUUGUAGAGGAUGAUUCGGCGAGGGCUCCCGCCUAAGUCCCCUGGAACGGGGCGUCAUAGAGGGUGAGAAUCCCGUAUGCGGUGGGCUGCCUUAGCCAUGUGAAUCUCCUUCGACGAGUCGAGUUGUUUGGGAAUGCAGCUCUAAAUGGGAGGUAAAUUUCUUCUAAAGCUAAAUACCGGCCAGAGACCGAUAGCGCACAAGUAGAGUGAUCGAAAGAUGAAAAGCACUUUGGAAAGAGAGUUAAAAAGUACGUGAAAUUGUUGAAAGGGAAGCGCUUGCAACCAGACUUGUCCGCAGUUGCUCAGCCGGUCUCCUGACCGGCGUACUCUUCUGCGGCCAGGCCAGCAUCAGUUCGGGCGGUCGGAUAAAGACCUCGGGAAUGUGGCUCCUCUCGGGGAGUGUUAUAGCCCGGGGUGGAAUGCGGCCAGCCUGGACUGAGGAUCUCGCUUCGGCAAGGAUGCUGGCGUAAUGGUUGUAAGCGGCCCGUCUUGAAACACGGACCAAGGAGUCUAACAUCUAUGCGAGUGUUUGGGUGUCAAACCCAUACGCGUAAUGAAAGUGAACGGAGGUGGGAACCCGCAAGGGCGCACCAUCGGCCGAUCCUGAUGUCUUCGGAUGGAUUUGAGCAAGAGCAUAGCUGUUGGGACCCGAAAGAUGGUGAACUAUGCCUGAAUAGGGUGAAGCCAGAGGAAACUCUGGUGGAGGCUCGCAGCGGUUCUGACGUGCAAAUCGAUCGUCAAAUUUGGGUAUAGGGGCGAAAGACUAAUCGAACCAUC